AUGGCGGGCUGCCUGGUGGCCGGGUACAUCCCAGAGCCCGUCUCCGUGUCGUGGACCACGGGGGGGUCCUCUCCGUCCGUCCCGCCCCGCACCUACCCCGCGGCCCGGGGCAGGAGGGGGCUCCUCACGCUGGGCAGCGCCGUAGGGUUCCCCGCGGGGCUGCGGGAGGCCACCUGCGCCGUGCGGCACCCGGCCACCGGCUUCAGCCGCAGCGUCAGAGUCUCUGCGCCCGCCCCGGCGCGCUCCCACCCGCCCCACGUCGAGCUCCUCCAUUCCUGCUCCAUGUCCUCCAUCCACCUCCUCUGCUUGGCCACCGGCUUCUCCCCGCGCGCCCUCAGCCUCCGCUGGCUGGUGGACAACGAGCCCUUGGACCCAAGCGACGUCCUCAUCGAGGGCCCCACCGCCAAGGGCACCUUCAUGGCCAGCGCCCGCCUCAACCUCACCUUGGCCGAGUGGCAGGAGAAGACCUUCGCGUGUGGUGUCACCCACCGAGCCUCGGGUACCGAUGUGGAGAUCACCGGCCACAAGUGCAUCAGCGUCCAUCCGGACUCCAGCUCCAUCCAAGUCUUCGUCCUCCCCCCGUCCCCAUUGGACCUUUACGUGUCGCAGAACCCCAAACUCCGCUGCAUGGUCACCAGUUUGCCCAGUGACGAUGGGCUGGAGCUCAGCUGGAGCCGGAGCCAAGGGGGGGCCCUUCGCCCCGACCUCCUCCAAGUCAAAGCCCAGUUCAAUGGCACCUUCACGGCCACCAGAGAGGUGCUGGUGUCCACCCGCGAUUGGGACAAUGGGGAGACCUUCACCUGCCGGGUCUACCACAGAGACCUGCCCUCUCCCAUCAGCCGCAGCAUCUCCAAGAAGCCAGGCAAGCGCUUGACCCCCAGCGUCUACCUCUUACCACCCCCACCGGAGGAGCUGAGCGGGUCCCAUGCCACCUUGAGCUUGACCUGCUUGGUGCGAGGCUUCUACCCCGAGUCCAUCUCGGUGGAGUGGCAGAAGAACCAGGACUCGUUGGAGGACUCAGCCUACGAGACCACCCCUCCCAUGAAGGAGAAGGCGGGAGAUGCCUCCUACUUCCUCUACAGCCGCCUGGUGGUGAAGAGGGAGGACUGGAACAAGGGGACAACCUACGUGUGCAUGGUGGUCCACGAGGGGCUGCCCAUGAGGUUCAUCCAGCGCAGCAUCAAUAAGAGCCCCGGUAAAAGGAAGUGA